rnacentral:rRNA from 1 species
CAGUUCGGAUUGUAGGCUGCAACUCGCCUACAUGAAGUCGGAGUUGCUAGUAAUCGCGGAUCAGAAUGCCGCGGUGAAUGCGUUCCCGGGUCUUGUACACACCGCCCGUCACACCAUGGAAGUUGGGGGCGCCCGAAGUUGGUCGAGGAAUAGAUUACCUAAGGCGAAACCAAUGACUGGGGUGAAGUCGUAACAAGGUACC